AAAAAAAGCGCUUUUUUGUUUCUGUUUUUUGUUUGUUUGUUUUACAGGGGAUUUUGUAAGAUAUCCAUAUAAAUAAUGUAUUUAUCUUUGGAAUUUGUACAUUGCUUUUUUUCCCCUACCAAGUUUAUUUUAUUGUGUAUGUUUGCUAUGUGAAAAGUGCUGAUUUGUUUGGUCAUUCACCGUUGUAUUAGCUGUUUAAAUGUGAUUUAAAAACAUUUCAUUUAUAGGGUUUUUUUUUUAGUAUUGUUUAAAACCAUGCUUCCAUUUUUUUUUUUAAUUUCCACCCAAAAGCCAUUGUCUAUUUUUGUAUUAUUUGUAAGUUAAGAAGUUUUUUCCAAUAUAUGGCAAAAAGUAGCAUAUUAUUCUUGUAGCAUUUAGUUAUGUAGAUUUUAAAAGAAAUGUAUCCUUUGCUUUUGAGGCUUAACAAAAACUAAUGCUGUUUUACUCUAUCAAUAUGCAUGGGAUUUCUCCUCUUUGGAGUGACGCAUUUUUGUGCAUUAAAUAUGGGGAGAAACUUCAUAGAACUCAAUGAAAAUACUUUCUUUCUUAAGUCUGCUUGUAUAUUUCUCUGUCUUUCACAUAAAUAUAAACCAGCAGAUUGGAUGCCUUAACAAUGCAAAUCAUAUUCAUUUCACUUGUACAUUGUACUGUGCACCAGAACUGUCAAUCAUCACUAACAUUCUAAGAAAAAAAAAAAAAAGGAAUUGAAAAGCACAAAAGAACUGUUUUGUUACCUUAAAACAAUAUAACUUUUUUCUAGUCGAGCAAGAAAUCAUUUACAACGAUGCUGCAACUGUGCAUGCUUCCUGUAUGAAUUUUGCAAUGGUUUUCACUAGAAUGUCACAGUGUGAUCUUUGGGGGAAGGGAAGAAAACAGGAUUAUUUUUUUUUUUUCCAUGGUGAGAAAAUAAAAAGAAGAAAAAACUGGAAAAUGUGAGAGACAUCAAUUUAUUGCUUCUCUGUAUUCCAAGCGAUUUAUUCUAAUUCACAUAGUAAGCAACAGCACGACAAUGUAAUCAAAUUUAAAGCCAUAUUUUGUCCAGUGACACCAUCAAUUACUCUUGUAGAGCUCCACUCAAAGUCAUAGCAAUUUCGACACCAGUGUUAGCCAUUGAUGUUUGUAGUCUUCUGCGCCAGUGUCCAAAGACCCUUUGACAAUGUGCAUAAUUUGUUUUGUUGCAGCUAUUUAUAGUGAUCUGAUGGAUGGGAAUUUAUAAAAAAUCUCCCCGGCACCACCCUUAUCUUUUACAAAGUAAAAGAUGCAGCUGUUUACAGAAUAUGGCUUUAAGUGGAAACAUUCAGAUUUCAGUUUUAACAAGGCGAAGCUUCACAAUGACUGGAUUGCAUAAAGUAUGCCUAUUUCCUCACAGUUGUACUAGGAUGCAGCUAAAAAGAAGUCAUCUCUGAAACUACUAACCUUUCACCUUCUUAUCUAAAUCUUUUUGAAUAGACACACACACUGUACAGUUCUAUUGUUAGAGAAACUAACUACUGUAGAGAUUGUUAUAAUUUUUUUGCAGAAAUUCAAGCUGUAAAAACUUUUCAACUUUCACAAUAUUUAAUUAAAGUUACUUCCUGUCUGUGAA
ensembl:lncRNA